GUGUGUGUGAGUAUUCUUUUUUAAGUGGCGAGCUGAAUAUUUUAAACAAACACUGCUUAAAAUCUAUAAUUUAUGGGCGAAGCUUCAGAAGAGGAGAUCAAUCACUGCCUGGUGCUCAGGGUGGCUCUCCAUCUGCACAGCCUCCCCUGCUCUGUUCCCAGUCAACCAGCGAGGCAGAAGGGAUUAGCCUCGGGCUCGAGCAGCGCCCAGACAAUCCCCACCUCCGAAGGGAGAAAGCCACAUUGCCUUCCCUUGCUGGCAGGAGCAUCGCUGAGCCCUCUGCCAAGCACAUCCUCUGGGGAACUGGACCAGGAUGGGAGCUGAAAGGCGCUGGUGGUCAAUGGGAGGAUGCAGGACCAUCUUUUAUUCAUGGCCGAGCGGCGCACACGCCGCUGCUUGCCGCCUUCUUGGGAUGCUGGCAUUAAUAUUUCAUCCUGGAGCCAGCUCGUGCUGAAGAGCUCAUGUCCCAGGAAACCCUUUUUGGGGGCCAGCUGCAAUAUUUCCUUUCAAGGGUUCCUUGGGAAGAUAACAGUGGAAAAGCCACGCUCUGACAUGGUGGGUCUGGAACGAAAAGUGAAGGUGUUCCUCUGCAAGCAUCAAAGCAGUUUCAACUUAACCAAAAAUGCUUCUCCUGAAUCACUGGGUCUUUAAAUCGAAAUACCUUCUCAAUAGAUGUAAUAAUGCUGGAGAAAAAGUGAUUGGAAAACAACUCCAUGUCCUCAGUGAUCCUUAUGGGUCCCUUCCAACAUGGGAUGUUCUGUGAUCUACAUGAGUUCCGUAGGAUGGAAGGGGAUGCUGCAUGUGGGAACGGAAGGAGGAACAGUUAUUUGCACAGCUCUUUGAGAUCCUUGAAGGAAAACCCUGGAGAGAUAUAAGUUGGAUCAUAUAUCAGCUUCUGUGGCUGCUUCGCCAAGGCCAGAUGUCAGCUGUCCUCGAUCCCCUGGUUUGGCCAAUGGAAGGGUGGAUGUGGCCCUUGGGGAUGUGGUUCAUGGGGACGGGUUGGGGUUGGAUUUGGGGAUCUCAGAGCUCUUUUCCAACCUCCCCCACCAUUCCCACUGAACGCAAAGGAGAACAAUCCAUCUUCGCCAACGGUGGUGCAAAUCUGCUGCACCGCUGCCGUCCCCAUAUUGCUUUCCCUGGGAGCUCCCGUGCACCAGCAGCAAUCUGCUGCCUGCCAGAGCUCCGGAUUUUCCUACCUCUCCUGAUAAGAACUAACCCAGCAUUUUACAACUGUAUAUCUGAAAUUAGUAGCAGCUUAAUCUCCCUCUGCUG
ensembl:lncRNA